GAUGAACGCUAGCGGCAGGCUUAACACAUGCAAGUCUGAGGGGUAAACAGGGAUGAGCUUGCUUUUCCGCUGACGACCGGCGCACGGGUGCGUAACGCGUAUAGAACCUACCUUUUACAGGGGAAUAGCCCAGAGAAAUUUGGAUUAAUGCCCCAUAGUAUUAUUGAAUGGCAUCAUUUAAUAAUUAAACAUUUAUGGGUAAAAGAUGGCUAUGCGUUCUAUUAGCUAGAUGGUAAGGUAACGGCUUACCAUGGCAACGAUAGAUAGGGGUCCUGAGAGGGAGAUCCCCCACACUGGUACUGAGACACGGACCAGACUCCUACGGGAGGCAGCAGUGAGGAAUAUUGGACAAUGGAGGCAACUCUGAUCCAGCCAUGCCGCGUGCAGGAAGACGGUCCUAUGGAUUGUAAACUGCUUUUAUAUAGGAAGAAACCUUUCCACGUGUGGAAAGCUGACGGUACUAUAAGAAUAAGCACCGGCUAACUCCGUGCCAGCAGCCGCGGUAAUACGGAGGGUGCAAGCGUUAUCCGGAAUCAUUGGGUUUAAAGGGUCCGUAGGCGGACUAAUAAGUCAGGGGUGAAAUCCAACAGCUUAACUGUUGAACUGCCUUUGAUACUGUUAGUCUUGAGUUAUAUGGAAGUAGAUAGAAUAUGUAGUGUAGCGGUGAAAUGCUUAGAGAUUAC
rnacentral:rRNA from 1 species